CCCCAAUCCGCCGAACGCUGCCUCAGUUUUCCCUCGCUCUCUCUCCCUCUCUUCCCGUGCGAAGCCGUCGAGGACAUCACCACCGCCUCAGCCCAGUUUCCGUAGCACCCCCACGGUGCCACUGUCUCGGCUUUUCGUGACGAUUUAUAGUCGACUCGACAUAUUUGAG